ACGCUCGACACUACGGAGGCAGCAGUCGGGAAUAUUGCGCAAUGGAGGAAACUCUGACGCAGUGACGCCGCGUAUGGGAAGAAGGUUUUCGGAUUGUAAACCAUUUUAGACAGGGAAGAAAAAAGACAGUACCUGUAGAAUAAGCUCCGGCUAACUACGUGUCAGCAGCCGCGGUAAUCUGAGCGGGCUGGCAAGGC
rnacentral:rRNA from 1 species